UUAGAUACCCUGGUAGUCCACGCCGUAAACGAUGUCUACUUGGAGGUUGUGGCCUUGAGCCGUGGCUUUCGGAGCUAACGCGUUAAGUAGACCGCCUGGGGAGUACGGUCGCAAGAUUAAAACUCAAAUGAAUUGACGGGGGCCCGCACAAGCGGUGGAGCAUGUGGUUUAAUUCGAUGCAACGCGAAGAACCUUACCUACUCUUGACAUCCAGAGAACUUUCCAGAGAUGGAUUGGUGCCUUCGGGAACUCUGAGACAGGUGCUGCAUGGCUGUCGUCAGCUCGUGUUGUGAAAUGUUGGGUUAAGUCCCGCAACGAGCGCAACCCUUAUCCUUGUUUGCCAGCGAGUAAUGUCGGGAACUCCAGGGAGACUGCCGGUGAUAAACCGGAGGAAGGUGGGGACGACGUCAAGUCAUCAUGGCCCUUACGAGUAGGGCUACACACGUGCUACAAUGGCGCAUACAGAGGGCAGCAAGCUAGCGAUAGUGAGCGAAUCCCAAAAAGUGCGUCGUAGUCCGGAUUGGAGUCUGCAACUCGACUCCAUGAAGUCGGAAUCGCUAGUAAUCGUGGAUCAGAAUGCCACGGUGAAUACGUUCCCGGGCCUUGUACACACCGCCCGUCACACCAUGGGAGUGGGCUGCAAAAGAAGUAGGUAGUUUAACCUUCGGGAGGACGCUUACCACUUUGUGGUUCAUGACUGGGGUGAAGUCGUAACAAGGUAGCGCUAGGGGAACCUGGCGCUG
rnacentral:rRNA from 1 species